UUGAGAAAGGAAGGGGAAAAAAAAACAUUUUGGGUCAAUUCACGAGCGUCUGGCCUUCUGGCUUCACAAGUCAGGAAAGCCAGGCCGCAGGGAUGGGGAAGGGGUCUGGGGGCUUCCUCUCCGACUUGCGGGCAGCGUCAUCUGGCUCAAGAACGCACGCUGGCCCGUGGGAGGCACAGGCAUACACGUCAACACACACACACACACACGUGAUCAGCAAGGAUGAUUUCAGAACAUUGACUUCGAACCCCUUCCUACCUGCCUAGCGGUUACGCUCAACUCAGCAGACUGGCCCACCGUUCCGGUCCUGUUGGAGGAAGUCACCGAGAGGACGUGACCGCUAACUGAGCCUCAAGCUGGACCCAGGCAACUGGAGGCGGCUCCCACCCUCCCCUGUCCUUGGAAGAUAUGUUCUGCCCACUGUUCCCACAGCCAGAGCUGUUCCAAGGAUGCAGCCAUGAGAGAGCAAUGUGGUGUUGAGACCGUUUGACGGUCAAUGUAACUGAACCCCGGUGUCGGGUUUGGAUGAUAAAUCAUACGGGCUCCCCAUCCAUCUCUCAUCUAUCACUAGCUGCUGAGAAUGCUUCUUCUCAAAAUAGAGCCACCUUCCUUGUCCAAGCGUCGUCACUUGCUGCCUGUCUAAAUUGUAGCAGCCCUGUGCUUCCUUCUCAUCCGAUCCACACCGUAUACGUCUCCUCUAAAACACAGCUCUCAACAUGGGACACCCACCCAAAUGCUUCCAACGAUGUCCAGUUACCUAGAACCGCUAAAUCAAAACAAUCACAAGCCAACUUCUAAAGUCCUGGGUCAUCUCUGAAAGUCGUAUUUCUUUUUAGGCAGAUUAGCUGCUCGCUAAUCUGGACACUUGACUAUCAUCAGAUUAACUCUUCACCGAGUCCACACUCCAAGCAAGCCCUCACAUUCAUGGCUCUGCUGACACGGUUAAACUUUUCCCCAUCUUCUCCAGCCCUAGUUUCUCUCUCUGCAAUUCAGCCCGCUCCUUGUCCGGAAAUCCUUCGUCAAGUGCAAGGAGCGUGGGUUUCACAUUCACAAAGAUCUGAAUUUGAUUGUAGAUCCUAGUGUCCAGGCACUAACCAUUAUGUUUUAUUGAUCCUAAAACAUACCUCCCCCUCCCGACAUUUUAACAUACCUGGGAAUGAAAUAUGCCUUAAAAUCUACCGCACCUUAGCGUCAGUAAAAUAUAGUAGCUCUCUGGCUUUGUGUUCUAACACAGACUCUCCGAGUGUUGGUUUCCUCAUCUUUUAAAACAAGAAUAAUACCUGAGUCUCAAGACUGUUGUGGAAAUGACUUGAGAUAACUGUAGUCGAGACCCGGUUUGGGGAUAUCUCCGUGGGAAUCUGGAUACUACGUCCAGCCAUUUUGUAAUCAUCACCCAGUAUCUCACGGGAAGAUGUACCACGUGCAAACAUUGCAGUUGCAACAGAUACCAAAGUUUGCGUACUAACAGACUUUCACAGAAUCCUCUGCAGUGUGCUGAAUCCAAAAGUAGUCUCACCCACAGGGGUGGGUGGCUUAGCCACGACAUUCCACUGAGAACUCUGUUCAGAGGAGAUAAGGGGGACCUUUCUCCAGGGGUAAUUGGUCAAGUAGCUUCUAGUUAGAAAGAUGUCAUUUGCUUCGAGAAAACUACAAAAGCAGCUUUGUGCUUAAUUUAUUCCUAAGUAGAAAAUCUUCAAAAACUGAUUUUAUGUAAAAAAGUCCCCAGGUAGGUGAGGAUUGGGUCCCAGGUGGAUGUUUUGAUAAU